GAAGAAGGCUUCUGCUGUGAGUGGCACACAUAGGAGAGUUUGCUUGCUCUACUUGCAGGAUUGACAUAAGAGAUUUUGGAAACAUUAUUUUUGGCAGUAGGGCAGCUGGUGAUCAUUGGUCCUGGCCUACCC